rnacentral:rRNA from 1 species
CCUACGGGAGGCAGCAGUAGGGAAUCUUUCACAAUGGGCGAAAGCCUGAUGGAGCAACGCCGCGUGCAGGAUGAAGGCCUUCGGGUUGUAAACUGCUUUUAUAAGCGAGAAAUAUGAUGGUAACUUAUGAAUAAGGAUCGGCUAACUACGUUCCAGCAGCCGCGGUCAUACGUAGGAUCCGAGCAUUAUCCGGAGUGACUGGGUGUAAAGAGUUGCGUAGGUGGCAUAAUAAGUAGCUAGUGAAAUCUGGUGGCUCAACCAUUCAGACUAUUAGCUACACUGGUAAGCUCGAGACCGUUAGGGGUAACUGGAAUUUCUAGUGUAGGAGUGAAAUCCGUAGAUAUUAGAAGGAACACCAAUAGCGUAGGCAGGUUGCUGGGACGGUUCUGACACUAAGGCACGAAAGCGUAGGGAGCAAACGGGAUUAGAUACCCGGGUAGUC